rnacentral:miRNA from 1 species
UUCGCGGGCGAAGGCAAAGUC